GAUGAACGCUAGCGGGAGGCUUAACACAUGCAAGUCGAGGGGCAUCACGAGGUAGCAAUACUUUGGUGGCGACCGGCGCACGGGUGAGUAACACGUAUGCAACCUUCCCUGUACAGGGGGAUAACCCGGAGAAAUUCGGACUAAUACCCCAUGAUGAUAUUAUGGGGCAUCCUUUAAUAUUUAAAGCUCUGGCGGUACAGGAUGGGCAUGCGCGACAUUAGCUAGUUGGUAAGGUAACGGCUUACCAAGGCGACGAUGUUUAGGGGACCUGAGAGGGUUGUCCCCCACACUGGUACUGAGACACGGACCAGACUCCUACGGGAGGCAGCAGUGAGGAAUAUUGGUCAAUGGGCGCAAGCCUGAACCAGCCAUCCCGCGUGAAGGAAGAAUGCGCUACGCGUUGUAAACUUCUUUUCCAGGGGGAAGAAUAACUCCUGUCGUGACGAGGUACUUGGACGUCUCGUGGAAUAAGCUAGUCGGACUAACGUCCGUGCCAGCACGCCGACGGUAACUCGACG
rnacentral:rRNA from 1 species